UACAUAGUUCAAAGUUAGCCCGAACUCCAGAUUGAGACCCUGUCUCAAAAAACCAGAACCAAGCCACACGAAACAAAACCAGCUCAAUUCGGGCCACCUCUGAUGACCCCUUCCCUCCCUCUGGGCCUCCGGAUGCCACCUGUGCCUCCAGAGCCUGCGGCCCACCCUGUCUGAAACACCUGCCACCUGUGUGGUUAGGCUCUGCACACCUGACUCUGGCCCACGCACUUGUGAUUCCCCGAGGGCAGGAAAUGGGGCUGAGUCACCCCCGAAGCGCUGCACAGUCGGAGCUCAGCAAAUACCACAGAAGGGAUGGAAUGGAUGAAGGCAGCCCCGGGACAGCCUGAGCCUCGGGUACCCUCAGGGUCCCCGAAUGCCGCCUGCCUGUCUCACCAGGAGUGAUGCUGGGUCCUGUGGCGGCUGGUGUGGAGUGAGGACCUGGUCCUUCUGUCUGCAGGUUCACAGGAUGACCGUCCUCUGCCAGGCCAGGUGGCUUUAUCCUGUGCAGAGAUAGGGACUUGACCUCAGGCCCCGCCCCCUUCCGAGAGAACAGCAUCAACCUGUUCCAGUCUCUGCCUAGAAAGAAUCCGAAAGGAGAGCUUGCCAGGUGCAGUGGCGCACGCCUGCCAUCCCAGCACUCUGGAGGCUGAGGCAGGAGGAUGGCUGUGAGCUCGAGG